UUCAACGAUUUGUGAGAGUAAAUCAGAUGAUAAGCGGUUUUUAGUGUUCACGGGAAUGAAUAGACCCCACUUUAGAGCGGAGUCACUUAAAGAUUGUAUGGCAAGAAUGGAAGCUUUGCAAGCGGUGAAAAAUCCAGAUCCACAACUAUGGUAUAAGGCAUUUAUGAAGGACAAUAGCAACUCAUAUGGUUGACAUGCUUCUUCCGGACUUGGCAUUGAUAUUCAGGAGGUUCAUUUUUCAGUCUUCUCUUGCUUAUGGUUUCUUCUUGUGAGAGGAACUACUAUUAGUCUGUUUCUGGUGGCCAUAUUUAAUUGUGUAAAGGUGUUCUGUUUCUUCUUCAGUUGUUCGUCUGUGUCCAUUUUCCUCCAACUGCGGCGUUGUAAUUUCUUCGGCAGAGUCAAUUUGUAAUUUCAUACUUUAUAUUUUCCAACUUCUUAACGCAUGUUAUUUUGCAGGCUUACUUUUCUUCUAAUGCUUUCACUUUGGCUUUAAAGAAGUCCUCCCCAAGGGUGACAAAUGAGGUUGUCCAAAAGGGAUUAUUUUGUUAAUCCAAUGGUAGAUCCAGGAACUCUUACACCACCUCUCUUUUAUCAUCAUACUACAAGGUAUGUGGCUAUGCGUUUUUAGUUAUUUUGGCUUCACUUCACAUGCAUCAUUAGUAAGCUAUUUCCAAUGUUUUUUCAAGUAUAUCAAUUUGUCUUCACUUCACACGCAUCGCUAGAUGAGAGAUUUGACAAGUGGUGUCAUUUCAAUAUGUUUUUUCUAUGUAAUAUACAUAAUCACACAUACUGGAAAUGACUUAUGGAAUAUGAAUUUAAGUCAUGAGUGCAUUUUAAAGUGGAGUCAAGGUUAACUUAUUUAUUUUAAUUAUGUUAUGGUUAUUUCUUGGUUGAGUAUGUGAAUCACAUUUUGGAAUAUUGAAUGAAUUUCAGGUUUAUGUAGUUUAUAUUAGGGGUGUGCAUGGUUGGUUAUUUUCAAAAA